UACGAAGGGGGCUAGCGUUGCUCGGAUUGACUGGGCGUAAAGGGCGCGUAGGCGGUUCGUACAGUCAGACGUGAAAUUCCUGGGCUCAACCUGGGGGCUGCGUUUGAUACGUGCGGACUUGAGUGCGGAAGAGGGUCGUGGAAUUCCCAGUGUAGAGGUGAAAUUCGUAGAUAUUCGCAAGAACACCAGUGGCGAAGGCGGCUCACUGGCCCGGUACUGACGCUGAGGUGCGAAAGCGUGGGGAGCAAACAGG
rnacentral:rRNA from 1 species